rnacentral:misc_RNA from 1 species
CUCUAGGGCAUACUACUAACAAUAGGUUUACUGAGAACAUUUAUUUUUUAUAUAACCUUCUUACACCUUUAAUUGCUAGGUAAUCUUUGAGCACAUCUUCUGGGUUGUCUGAUUAUGCUUGCUAAUAUUUAGUUCUGUUCUCGAUCUUGUGUUGGAGUGGCUUGUUUAAGAUUUGCCCGUGACUCAAGAAUCUGGAAAAUAUGUAUUUCUGAAACAGACUGUUUAUCCUUAUUUUUUAUUGAGUUUCUUUUAUGGAAUGUACUAAUGUUUUGCUCUGGGAUGAUUGCAAUUUUAAUUUCUUAGUAUUUUCUAUUUUUAUUACAUUUGCAUGCAUAUGUUCCCUGAAGAUUACGCCUAAUGAUUUUAGGUGUUUGCAUCCAUUGUUCUGUGUUAUAAACAUUCUGAUAAUUUGAAUUUUAUUUAACAGCUUUUGGGCAGUCGUCUAGCAGCCCAUUUGGUUCCCAAGCAGUAUUUGGUCAGACAAGUAAUGCAAACAAUAAUCCGUUUGCUCCUAAACCCUUUGGUAGUACAACCCCUUUUGGUUCACAAACCGGGGGUUCCAUUUUUGGGGGAACUUCAACUGGUAUGUUUGGCACUCCCCAAACAUCCUCACCUUUCUCUUCCGCUACUCCUUUUGGUGCUUCAUCUUCACCAGCUUUUGGCAGCACCAUGCCCGCAUUUGGAGGUUCUUCUUCUACAUCUGCUUUUGGUAAUUCUUCAACUUCAUUUGGUGGUUCUUCUGUCUUUGGCCAGAAGCCUGCUUUUGGAGGCUUUGGGUCUACUCCUCAAACAAGUCCAUUUGCAAGUACAAGUCAGCAAUCACAGCCUGCUUUUGGGAGCAGCUUAUUUGGUUCUACCACACCUUUUGGUGCAUCAAGUCAGUCUGCAUUUGGUUCAACAGGUGCUACCUUUGGUUCUACCAGCACCACUCCUUCCUUUGGUACAAGCAGCACUCUGGGCUUUGGUGCUAGCACUCCAUCCUUUGGUACCACUAGUACAUUUGGCUCAACAGCAAGUCCAGCAUUUGGUACAGGAACUGGAUUUGGUGUGUCUAGCACCCCAGUAUUUGGAUCUGGGGGCAGCUUUGCAACUUCAAGCACCCCUGCCUUUGGUGCUGCAGGUUCUGCUUUUGGUGUUUCAAGCACUCCUGGAUUUGCAACUUCUAGCACUCCUGCCUUUGGGGCUUCAACUACUCCUGCCUUUGGGAGUACCUCUGCAUUUGGGACUUCAAGUACUCCAUCCUUUAGCUUUUCAUCCAGCCCAGGUUUUGGUCAAUCAGCGUCUGCAUUUGGGAGCAGUCCAUUUGGAACUACUACAUCUCCUUUUAGUUCCCAGAGUUCACCAUUUGGAUCCCAGGCUACGACACCAACAUUUGGGAAUACCGGAUUUGGGCAAUCAGCAUUUGCAGGGCAUCGUGGGGGAAGUAGAGCAGUGGCUUACUCAGCAACAGCUGAAACAGAGAGUAGUGGUGGAACGCCUGGAAAGUUAGAGUCUAUAUCAGCAAUGCCUGUGUACAAAGAUAAAAGCCAUGAGGAACUGAGGUGGGAAGAUUAUCAAUUAGGAGACAAAGGUGGACCACUUCCUCCUGGUCAAUCCUCUGUUGUGAAUAAUUUUGGUGUCUCCAGUGCACCAUCAAAUCCUUUUGCUCCUUCAAAUACAUUUGCUCAGUCAGCUGCUAGUCCCUUUUCUUCAACAAUUUCCUCCAACCCAUUUUCUACCAAACCUUUUGGAACCUCCAGUACGCCUUCGUUCAGUCCUUCACCUUUCACUGCAUCACCUUCAUCUAAUCCUUUUCAGUCUACCUCAGCUUUUGGAUCCAGUUCAUCCACUGCAUUUCCAGGCAGUGCAGCUCCAUCUCUUUUUGGCACAUCCAGCUCCUCUGCAUUUGGUUCAUCACCAUCCUUGUUUAAUUCAAGCACAGGACAAACAAGUUCCUCACUGUUUGGAAAUUUUGCCAACACUCAGCCAUCUCUCUCAUUCCAAUCCACUGUACCUUCAAUUGGUCAGACAAGUUCUGCUUUUGGACAGGCUACCUCUUCUUUUGCACCGAGUACCACCCCCUCUUUCACCCAGUCAAGCAUAUUCAAUACUCCUAGCGGUUUUGCAUUCUCAAGCACUUCAUCGCUGAUGUGUUCAACCAACCAAGGGGUGUUUGGUCAAACAACUUUAUCUCAAUCUACGCCUUUUCAACUCUCUCAACCUUCUACAAGUCUCCCUGGGUUUGGCAAUUUUGGUCAGUCACAAGCAGCUAGCACAAGCGGAUUUGCUGGUUCGUCAAGCAUCUUUGGUCAGAGCACUUUUGGACAAUUGUCUACUACUCAGAGUUCUGUUGCUCUACAGCCUGCACCUGUUACGAAUCCAUUCGGGACACUGCCUGCAAUGCCUCAAAUGUCUAUUGGUCGAGCUGGGACUACACCUUCAGUUCAAUAUGGGAUUUCUAGCAUGCCUGUGGUUGACAAGCCUGCUCCUGUUAGAAUAUCAUCCUUGCUGACUGCUAGGCACCUGUCACAAAGACGGAUUAGGUUACCUGCAAGGAAAUAUAAUCAUAAGCAUGAUGGUCCAAAGGUUCCAUUUUUUAGUGAUGAAGAGGAAACAACCAGCACGCCAAAGGCAGAUGCUCUUUUUAUUCCUCGGGAAAACCCAAGAGCUCUUGUCAUUCAUCCUACAGACCAGUGGCCCUUGAGGGCUAAUGCAGAAAAAGCUUCUCCAUUGAAGGAUGCAUCUACUCCAGUGUAUGAGAAUGGCAAACUUUCAGAAGCUGUUGAUGUUCCAUCCUCAAGUGGUUCUGGUGCUGGUGCUGGUGGUAAAGAUAAGAAUAUGGUAGAAGAUGGUUUUGGGAAGGAGCGAGUUUAUUUUAAACUCAACCAGAAACCUAAUGGAGUUCAUGAAGAUAAUUCUACUCAGAAAGAGGAGUCCUAUAUGACACUUAGUGGUCACAGAGCAGGUGAAGCUGCAAUAGUUUAUGAACAUGGAGCCGAUAUUGAGGCACUAAUGCCAAAACUUCGGAGGUCGGACUACUACACAGAGCCACGAAUCCAAGAAUUGGCAGCUAAGGAAAGGGCUGAACCAGGGUUCUGCCGCCAUGUAAAGGACUUUGUGGUUGGACGACAUGGUUAUGGCAGCAUUAAGUUCUUGGGUGAGACGGAUGUUCGCCGGCUGGAUCUGGAGUCCCUUGUUCAAUUUAAUAAUCGGGAGGUUAUUGUGUACACGGAUGACACCAAGAAACCACCUGUUGGACAAGGUCUCAAUAAACCUGCUGAGGUAACACUUCUUAACAUAAAAUGCUUUGACAAGAAGACUGGGCGUCAGUAUUCAGAAGGUCCAAAAAUUGAGAAAUACAAGGAGAUGCUUAAGAGGAAGGCGGAGGACCAAGGUGCUGAAUUUGUGUCAUAUGACCCUGUAAAAGGAGAGUGGAAGUUCAGGGUCAACCAUUUCAGCAAGUACAUGCUGGGGGAUGAAGACGAAGAAGAUGAUGACUGGGUGGUGGUGCAUUCUGCCAGAGGCUUUUGUUAAAUCAUGAGGUUUUGGAGGAAGACUUGUGUAAUGCAGGGGAUC